GUUAGCGGCGGACGGGUGAGUAACACGUGGGCAACCUGCCUGUAAGACUGGGAUAACUUCGGGAAACCGAAGCUAAUACCGGAUAGGAUCUUCUCCUUCAUGGGAGAUGAUUGAAAGAUGGUUUCGGCUAUCACUUACAGAUGGGCCCGCGGUGCAUUAGCUAGUUGGUGAGGUAACGGCUCACCAAGGCAACGAUGCAUAGCCGACCUGAGAGGGUGAUCGGCCACACUGGGACUGAGACACGGCCCAGACUCCUACGGGAGGCAGCAGUAGGGAAUCUUCCGCAAUGGACGAAAGUCUGACGGAGCAACGCCGCGUGAGUGAUGAAGGCUUUCGGGUCGUAAAACUCUGUUGUUAGGGAAGAACAAGUAUGAGAGUAACUGCUCGUACCUUGRCGGUACCUAACCAGAAAGCCACGGCUAACUACGUGCCAGCAGCCGCGGUAAUACGUAGGUGGCAAGCGUUAUCCGGAAUUAUUGGGCGUAAAGCGCGCGCAGGCGGUUUCUUAAGUCUGAUGUGAAAGCCCACGGCUCAACCGUGGA
rnacentral:rRNA from 1 species